rnacentral:rRNA from 1 species
UACGUAGGUGGCAAGCGUUGUCCGGAAUCAUUGGGCGUAAAGGGCGCGCAGGCGGUUCGGUAAGUCGGUCUUAAAAGUGCGGGGCUUAACCCCGUGAUGGGAUUGAAACUGCCGGACUGGAGUGUCGGAGAGGAAAGCAGAAUUCCUAGUGUAGCGGUGAAAUGCGUAGAUAUUAGGAGGAAUACCAGUGGCGAAAGCGGCUUUCUGGACGACAACUGACGCUGAGGCGCGAAAGCCAGGGGAGCAAACG